rnacentral:RNase_P_RNA from 1 species
CGAGCAAGCCGGGCGAUCGCUGCCUCGCACGAGCGUCCCGAUCUGAUCGGGAUAGGCAUGAGCGGGGGAGAGGAAAGUCCGAACUCCGCAGGGCAGUGUGCUCGCUAACGGCGAGGGUCGGCGGGGGAUUCCCGUUUCAUCGGGACGUACGCCGCCGAUACGGAAAGUGCCACAGAAAAUACACCGCCCCGUUCCGCUAUGCGGGACGCGGCAAGGGUGAAAAGGUGCGGUCCGAUUCAUCGGGCUUAAUGUAAGAGCGCACCGCCCCGGUGGCGACAGCGGGGGCAGGGCAAACCCCACACGGAGCAAGACCAAAUAGGAGAGCAGGAGCGGCCCGCUCCGCAAUCUCUGUAGCGGCGUUCCGUGGGCGCCGCCCGCUAUACGUUCUGGACAUCGGCUGUCACAGAUCGCCGCUACAGAGGCAACUCUCGGGUAGGUCGCUGGAGUCCGAUAGCAAUAUCGGGCCUAGAGGAAUGAUCGCCGCCCCGAUCCAAUCGGGGCACAGAAUUCGGCUUACAGGCUUGUUCGCGUU